CCUACGGGAGGCAGCAGUGGGGAAUAUUGCGCAAUGGGCGAAAGCCUGACGCAGCGACGCCGCGUGAAUGACGAAGGCCUUCGGGUCGUAAAGUUCUUUUGUCAGGGACGAAGCAAGUGACGGUACCUGACGAAUAAGCCACGGCUAACUACGUGCCAGCAGCCGCGGUAAUACGUAGGUGGCAAGCGUUAUCCGGAUUUACUGGGUGUAAAGGGCGUGUAGGCGGGACUGCAAGUCAGAUGUGAAAACCACGGGCUCAACCUGUGGCCUGCAUUUGAAACUGUAGUUCUUGAGUACUGGAGAGGCAGACGGAAUUCCUAGUGUAGCGGUGAAAUGCGUAGAUAUUAGGAGGAACACCAGUGGCGAAGGCGGUCUGCUGGACAGCAACUGACGCUGAGGCGCGAAAGCGUGGGGAGCAAACAGGAUUAGAUACCCUUGUAGUC
rnacentral:rRNA from 1 species